GACGAACGCUGGCGGCGUGCUUAACACAUGCAAGUCGAACGAGACGGAUUGGGAGCUUGCUCCUGACAAGUCGAGUGGCAAACGGGUGAGUAACGCGUAGACAACCUGCCGCAAAGAUGGGGACAACAGCCCGAAAGGGCUGCUAAUACCGAAUGUUGCGCCCCUCCCGCAUGGGAGGGGCGCCAAGGAUGGCCUCUGCCUGCAAGCCAUCGCUUUGCGAUGGGUCUGCGCCUGAUUAGCCAGUUGGCGGGGCAACGGCCCACCAAGGCGACGAUCAGUAGCCGGUCUGAGAGGAUGGACGGCCACAUUGGGACUGAGACACGGCCCAGACUCCUACGGGAGGCAGCAGUGGGGAAUCUUCCGCAAUGGGCGAAAGCCUGACGGAGCAACGCCGCGUGGGUGAAGAAGGUCUUCGGAUCGUAAAGCCCUGUUGCCCGGGACGAACGCCCCCGGCGCGAACAGCG
rnacentral:rRNA from 1 species